rnacentral:rRNA from 1 species
UACGUAGGGGGCAAGCGUUGUCCGGAUUUAUUGGGCGUAAAGAGCGUGUAGGCGGCCUGACAGGUCUGCUGUGAAAACUCGAGGCUCAACCUCGAGAUGUCGGCGGAAACCGUCUGGCUAGAGUCCGGAAGAGGAGAGUGGAAUUCCUGGUGUAGCGGUGAAAUGCGCAGAUAUCAGGAAGAACACCUAUGGCGAAGGCAGCUCUCUGGGACGGUACCGACGCUGAGACGCGAAAGCGUGGGGAGCGAACAGG